rnacentral:rRNA from 1 species
UACGUAGGGUGCGAGCGUUGCCCGGAUUUAUUGGGCGUAAAGGGCGCGUAGGCGGCCACGCACGUCCGUUGUGAAAUCGCCCGGCUCAACUGGGCGGGGUCAGCGGAUACGGUGUGGCUCGAGCAAGCUAGGGGGCAAUGGAAUUCCCGGUGUAGUGGUGAAAUGCGUAGAUAUCGGGAGGAACACCAGUGGCGAAGGCGGUUGCCUGGAGCUUUGCUGACGCUGAUGCGCGAAAGCGUGGGGAGCGAUCCGG